AGAGGCAAAAGGAACUGAGUUUGACUUUUUCUCGUUAGCGUGCGAUGAAAGCACGGAUGCGUCCGACACCGCUCAGUUACUGAUCUUUUUAAGAGGAGUGGACAAUGACAUGAACAUGACAUGAAACUACAGUGGAAUAAAGUCACCGGGAUUAUUACGGACGGCGCACCUGCCAUGGCUGGCGAGCGGAGUGGAUUAUCAAGCCUUGUCUGUAACAAAGUCAGCGAAGAAGGAGGCAGCGCUAUUAAACUCCACUGUAUUAUUCAUCAAGAAGUUCUCUGUGCCAAAUAUAUGAAAUAUGAUAAUGUUAUGAAACCGGUGAUAAAGACUAUUAAUUAUAUUCGCUCCAAAGCGCUGUGCCACCGCCAGUUUCAACAGUUUCUUCUCGACAUCCAGGCUGAAUACGGAGAUGUUUUGUAUCACACCGACGUAAGGUGGCUCAGUCGGGGGUCUGCGCUGCAGCGCUUCUUCUCUCUCAGGGAGGAAAUUGGACAAUUCUUGACUAAAAAGGGACAACCCAUGCCACAAUUAAAUGAUCCUGUUUGGCUGGCUGAUUUGGGAUUUUUAGUUGACAUAACGCGACAUCUGAAUGCGCUGAACACAAGCCUUCAAGGGCAAAAUGCAGUGGUAAGCCAACUGUAUUCACACAUCAAAGCCUUUCGGACCAAGCUGCUACUUUUCCAAAGACACCUGUCACAGGCGCAGCCAAAUACCGCACAUUUCCCGUCGCUGCAGGAAAUUGUGACCAGUUUCCCACAGGUCAAUAUCAGUGCGCAAAUGACAAAGUAUGCAGCAGACAUCUCAUCUCUGGUUGAGGAGUUUCAGCAGCGCUUUCGGGACUUUGCAGCUAUUGAACAGGAGAUCACGCUUUUUUCCUCUCCUUUCUCCGUGGACCCUGAUGACGCUCCAGACCACCUGCAACUGGAGCUCAUUGAGCUGCAGUGUGACGCCGAGCAUCGCAGUCGGCACCAACAGCUCCCUCUUGUCAACUUCUACCGCCAGCUGGAUGAAGGCAGGUUCCAAGCAAUUCGGACAUUUGCUAAGAAAAUGCUGAGCUUGUUUGGCUCCACAUACAUGUGCGAGAAGACAUUCUCCGUUAUGAACAUUAACAAGAGCCGCAUGAGGACGAGACUGAGUGACUCUCACCUGCGUGACGUCUUGCGCAUCAAAACCACUGCUCUUGAGCCAGACAUGGACUACAUACUGCAGUCAAGAUCCCAGUAUCACCCUUCACAUUAGUGCAGGCAAGACCUUUGUUAAGUCCUCUGAGUUGAAUAAAUUCUUAAAUCUCAGUUAAUUAAUUUUUUUGUGAUGGUCAAAAUCACAGUUUGAAUAUGCAGUGAUCAUUGUUUUGUUUUCAGCACUUUUCCUACACUGAGCAUGUAAUAGUGAAUAAUAUGUAAUGUUUCACAUGAACUUAGAUAUCCUUUAUAGUUUUCUUAAUUUUUUGUGGUCUGUGUUUUCGGUAAAAACCUAAAUGUAAAAAAAAAUGUAAAAGUAAAAGUAUGCCAUUUGUAAUUAAAUUAAAAAAAAUCCCAAAAAGUUAAUUUGUAUUUAAUGUUAAUGGUUCAAAGAAUGUCAGGCUAAAUAGUCGGCCCCCACACAUUUUCACCUUACCAAAUCUGGCCCUCUUUCCAAAAAGUUUGGACACCCCUGGACUAAAGGGUUGGGCUCUCUCAACAACUUGGGAACUUUGCUGUAACACAGAUGAUAACUCCUGGUGUUUGAGAAUUACCACAAUGUGUGGACUUUCAUUCAAAGUUUAUUUAACUGAAGAUACAUCUCUCUUUUGAUAUUUCCUGAACUCUGGUGAAAUAUUUCAAAUGUAUGCUUUGAUAUCUGGUCAUUUUAUGAGCUUUAUAGGUUCAGAUGUAGGAUUUUGAGAACUGUUCAUCUUGAUUUGAAGCCAAACACUUUGAAGUGUUGGAUUAAACAAUAAACAGUUGAUUUGUUAAGACUAAAUUUUGAUCAUCUUCAAUCAAUUCAAUUCAAUCAAUUUCUGAUCUAACAGUAAGAGUACACAGUUGGGAGUAUUACUCUCUGAUUUAUCAGCAGGUCAACUAAAAAGGCAGAUAAAUAAAUAGCGGACACGGUAGCAGUGUCCCUCAAAAUGCAUGAAGAAAUGUUCCUCUCUCCACCUGUUUUUGUUUUAUAUUUGUGGAUCCUUUUUAUUUCAACCUAACCUGCCUCUGUGCCUCCCAAGACAACUUAUCUCAACAAAUGGAAAUUAUAUAUGGGGUCCUUCAGUGGUCAGGUCUUGGACCCCUCCUGUUCAGCCUGUAUAUGCUACUCUCGGGUCAAAUUUUCCAGAACUUUAGUUUUGACUAUCAAAGCUAUCAGUGUCUCAAGAUGACCGUAGUUCAAUUGAGGUGUUGUCUGUCUAAAGCAGAUAAAUAACUGGAUGGGCCAGAGCUUCCAUUAUCUAAAGUUGAGAUUCUAAACCACCUAAAUCAAUUACGAAAACUGUGUUUUACCAUCUGAAGAAUAUAUUAAGAGUAAAGGCUUGCGUGUGUCAAACAGACCAAGAGAAGCUCAUCCAUACUUUUAUCUGAUGUAAACUUGACUAUUGCAAUGGUCUUAUGUUUGGGCUCCUCAGAAAGAGCAUUAAACAGCUGCAGCUUAUUCAGAAUGCUGCAGCUUGGGUUAUGACCAGAACAUAAGGGUCAGAGCAGGGGUGUUUUAACAUUGCGAGUAAACACACAAUCAUUUGUGCACUAGCCUCAAAUAUAUUUUUAAUCAGCAAAAUUGAACAGAAAUUAGAUUUUUUUGGCUAUAGUGGUAAGCUUAGAGUUUCGUAGCUUAACAAGCAGUUUGAAAGAAUAUCAGAAUUAGAACCAGAAUCCUCUUUAUUUGCUAAGUAUGUCAAAAACACCCAAGGAAUUUGUCUCCAGUUGUUAGAGUCGUUGUAGAAUGCAGCCCUAUGGGGGUACUAGGCAAUGCAAAGUGGAGGCAAGUCCCAAGCAGAGGGUUAUUUCAGUAAGGGCAUCUGGCAUAAAAUUGUGCCAAACAAAUAUGAGCGUACAUUUAAAGAAUACCAUACCAGAUCGGUCGUGGCCCAGGUAAACAAUGGCCAACCCCGCCAUCGUUAACCUGAAGGGGGUUGGUGGAAUUUCAGCUGUGGGUCGAAGACAAAGAAAAGAAGGAAACCGGAUUCGUUGGCAGAAGAAGAAGAGGAAUGCACAGAGCCUACAAUUGAGUGAAGGGACUUUGAAUGUUGGGACUAUGACAGGAAAAGCUCAGGAGUUGGUUGACAUGAUGAUUAGGAGAAAGAUUGAUAUAUUGUGCAUCCAAGAGAGCAGGUGGAAAGGGAGUAAGGCGAAACGUUUAGGAGAAGGGUUUAAAUACCUACCUGGAGGUAGAAGCAUGGAGCUGCAUUAUAUUAUGUACAGAUGAUAUAACCUGAAGGAAGUUACUGACUGUAAAGUAGUGGUAGGGGAGAGUGUAGCUCAACAGCAUAGGAUGGUGGCAUGUAGGAUGACUGGUGGUAGGUAGGAAGAUUAAGAAGACAAAGGUAGAGCAGAUAACCAUGUGGUGGAAGCUGAGAAAGGAAGAAUGUUGUGCAGUCUUUCAGAAAGAGGUGAGACAAGCUUUCGAUGGACAGAUUCUCCCAGAAGACUGGACUACUACAGCCAGGGUGAUCAGAGAGACAGGCAGGAGAGUACUUGGUGUGUCUUCUGGUUGGAAAAGGGAGAAGGAGACUUGGUGGUGGAACCCCAGAAUACAGAAAGUUAUACAAAGAAACGGAUUAGCGAAGAAGAUGUGGGACACUGAAAGCACUGAGGAAGGCCAAAGGAAUACAUUAAGAUGCGACGUUGGGCAAAUGGAGAGGUGGCUAAGGCUAAUCAAGAGGCAUAUAACGACAUGUACACCAGGUUGGACACGAAAGGAAGAAAAAAGGAUCUCUCUAGGUUGGCCAGACAGAGGGCUAGAAAUGGGAAGGAUGUGCAGCAGGUAAAGGUGAUUAAGGAUAGAGAUGGAAAUGUGUUGACUGGUGCUGGUCGUGGGCUAAAUAAAUGGAAAGAAAAUUUUGAGAAGUUGAUGAAUGAAGGAAAUGAGAGAAGGAACAGUAGAAAAGGCAAGUGUGAAGGACCAGGAAGUGUCUAUGAUUAGUAAGAGGGAAACCAGAACGGCACUACAAAGAAUGAAAAAUGGAAAAGCAAUUUGUCCUGAUGACAUACCUUUGGAGGUAUGGAAGCAAUUUGGAGAGGUGGCUGUGGAGUUUUCAACCAACUUAUUCAACAGAAUACUAGCGGGUGAGAAGAUGCCUGAAGAAUGAAGGAAGAAUGAAGGAAAAGUGUGCUAGUUCCCAUUUUUAAGAACAAAGCCGAUGUGCAGAGCUUUGGGAACUAUAGAGGAAUAAAGCUGAUGAGCCGCACAAUGAAGUUAUGGGAAAGAGUUGUGGAGGCUAGACUCAGAAGAGAAGUAUCUUCGAGCAACAGUCUGGUUUCAUGCCUCGAUAACGUACCACAGAUGCAUUAUUUGCCUUGAGGAUGCGAGUAGAAAAGUCCAGAGAAUGUCAGAAGGAGCUACAUUGUGUCUUUGUGGAUCUAGAGAAAGCCCAUGACAGAAUACCAAGAAAGGAACUGUGCAUGCGUAAAUCUGGUGUGGUGGAGAAGUAUGUCACAAUAGUACAGGACAUGUAUGAGGGCAGCAGAACAGUGGUGAGGUCUGCCGUAAGUGUAACAAAAUAAUUUAAAGUGGAGGUGGGAUUCCAUCAGGGAUCAGCUAUGAGCCCCUUCCUGUUUGCUGUGGGAAUGGAUAGGCUGAUAGUUGAGGUUAGACUAGAAUCCCCUUGGAUCAUGAUGUUCGCAGAUGAUAUUGUAAUGUGCAGUGAAAGCAGGGAGCAGGUGGAGGAACAAUUAGAAAGAUGGAGACAUGCACUGGAAAGGAGAGGAAUGAGGAUUUCGCCGAAGUAAAACAGAAUAUAUAUGCGUGAAUGAGAAAGAUGGAGGGGGAAGAGUGAGGCUAAAGGGAGAAGAGAUAGCAAGGGUGGACGACUUCAAAUACUUGGUGUCAACAAUCCAGAGCAAUGGUUACUGUGGUAAGGAAGUGAUGAAACAUGUCCAAACAAGUCGGAACACCUGUCGGAAGGUGUCUGGUGUGUUAUGUGACAGAAGAGUUUCUGCUUGGAUGAAUGGCAAGGUUUAUAAAACAGUGGUGAGGCCAUGAUGUACGGAUUACAGACAGUGGCACUGAAGAGAAGACAGGAAGCAUAACUGGAGGUGGCAUCAAUGAAGAUGUUGAGGUUCUCUCUAGGAGUGAGGUUGGAUAGGAUUGGAAAUGAGCUCAUUAGAGCAGACAUGUCCAAAGUCCGGCCCCCGGGCCAAUUGCGGCCCGUGGACAAAUUUUUACCGGCCCGCGGCCUCUAUCAUGAAAUCAAUAAUAUGCGGCCUGCCAGCACUGUUGACCACAGUAUAAAAUACAUGUGUACAAAAAGCUAUUUUUCAUUUCACCAGAAGAUGGCAGUAGCCCUGUGGCCGCACUCUGGCCGCCGUGACCCUUGACCUUGCGUGAUCGUUUCAGCCCAGCCCAUUUCUAACAUGGCGUCUGUAAACAAAAAAAGGAAAGUAGACCGCGAGGGCCGCCGCUUCCAGGACAAGUGGAAAUUUGAGUAUUUUUUCACUGAAAUAAGAAACAACUGUGUCUGCCUAAUUUGCCAAGAGACUGUGGCUGUUUUCAAGGAAUUCAACAUCGAGAGGCACUACCAGACGAAACAUGCUAGCUACGACAAGCUAACUGGGAACAAACGCGGUGAAAAAGUGAAGCAACUGGAAGCUGUUUUAACGGCACAGCAAAGCUUUUUCACAAGAGUCCGUGAGUCAAAUGAAAAUGCCACAAAGGCAAGCUACGAAGUGGCAACGCUGAUUGCAAAGCACUGCAAACCUUUCACUGAGGGUGAAUUUAUUAAAGACUGUGUAAUGAAAAUGGUUGAGAAAAUUUGUCCCGCGAAGAAGCAAGAGUUUGCCAAUAUUUGCCUGGCUCGUACGGAGAAUUGAAGACGUUUCAUUAGAUAUUAAGAGACAGUUAGAGGCAAAAGGAACUGAGUUUGACUUUUUCUCGUUAGCGUGCGAUGAAAGCACGGAUGCGUCCGACACCACUCAGUUACUGAUCUUUUUAAGAGGAGCGGACAAUGACAUGAACGUGAGUGAAGAGCUUCUGGACCUCCAGAGUCUGAAGGGCCAAACAAGAGGAACGGAUUUAUUUGUUUCUGUUUGUUCCACCGUAGAUGACAUGAAACUACAGUGGAAUAAAGUCACCGGGAUUAUUACGGACGGCGCACCUGCCAUGCCUUGCGAGCGGAGUGGAUUAUCAAGCCUUGUCUGUAACAAAGUCAGCGAAGAAGGAGGCAGCGCUAUUAAACUCCACUGUAUUAUUCAUCAAGAAGUUCUCUGUGCCAAAUAUAUGAAAUAUGAUAAUGUUAUGAAACCGGUGAUAAAGACUAUUAAUUAUAUUCGCUCCAAAGCGCUGUGCCACCGCCAGUUUCAACAGUUUCUUCUCGACAUCCAGGCUGAAUACGGAGAUGUUUUGUAUCACACCGACGUAAGGUGGCUCAGUCAGGGGUCUGCGCUGCAGCGCUUCUUCUCUCUCAGGGAGGAAAUUGGACAAUUCUUGACUAAAAAGGGACAACCCAUGCCACAAUUAAAUGAUCCUGUUUGGCUGGCUGAUUUGGGAUUUUUAGUUGACAUAACGCGACAUCUGAAUGCGCUGAACACAAGCCUUCAAGGGCAAAAUGCAGUGGUAAGCCAACUGUAUUCACACAUCAAAGCCUUUCGGACCAAGCUGCUACUUUUCCAAAGACACAUGUCACAGGCGCAGCCCAAUACCGCACAUUUCCCGUCGCUGCAGGAAAUUGUGACCAGUUUCCCACAGAUCAAUAUCAGUGCGCAAAUGACAAAGUAUGCAGCAGACAUCUCAUCUCUGGUUGAGGAGUUUCAGCAGCGCUUUCGGGACUUUGCAGCUAUUGAACAGGAGAUCACGCUUUUUUCCUCUCCUUUCUCCGUGGACCCUGAUGACGCUCCAGACCACCUGCAACUGGAGCUCAUUGAGCUGCAGUGUGACGCCGAGCAUCGCAGUCGGCACCAACAGCUCCCUCUUGUCAACUUCUACCGCCAGCUGGAUGAAGGCAGGUUCCAAGCAAUUUGGACAUUUGCUAAGAAAAUGCUGAGCUUGUUUGGCUCCACAUACAUGUGCGAGAAGACAUUCUCCGUUAUGAACAUUAACAAGAGCCGCAUGAGGACGAGACUGAGUGACUCUCACCUGCGUGACGUCUUGCGCAUCAAAACCACUGCUCUUGAGCCAGACAUGGACUACAUACUGCAGUCAAGAUCCCAGUAUCACCCUUCACAUUAGUGCAGAUGAUCUGGUGGUUGCUCCUGAACACUUCAAGGAAGCCCUUGGCCUAUUACGUGGUUCACGUAGGUCCAAACCUACAUGGCUCGGUGCUGAUGACUCCAUCUACAUUGACGCUAUUGGCGUCUCCCGUGGUAUCCAAGAUGAGUAUAAACUGGCUGAUCAAGUAGUUGUUGUUUUUGAAAAUAUACCUGUAAUUUCCGCCCUGUUCCCUUUUACUCCAAACAAAAAUGUUGACCGUAUCAAUUACAUACAUUAUAAUGUGCAACGCUUGGGCAAUUUCACCCCUGAGGGACUUAAAGCUGUCCAUGAACAACUUAGGGCUACAUCUAUUAUGGCUUUUCAAAAUAGAAUUGCAUUAGAUGCUGCGUUGGCCGAGAAAAGUGGCGUUUGUUCCUUUUUUGGCGACCAAUGCUGUACCAUUAUUCUGAAUAACACCCAACCUGGUGGCCGCCUUACUAAAGCCGCAGAUAGACUUAGAACCCUGGCGAAGAAAAUGAAGGAACACUCUGGUUUUUUACAUGUCUAUGUGGGAUAACUGGAUGAAUGUGUUUGGUAGAUGGAAGAGUGUCAUUUGAUCAAUCUUCAUCUCUCUGGCUGUCUUUACCUCUAUUCUCACCCUAUGUGGAUGCUGUUGCAUUCCUUGUAUUCGUUCUCUUUUAACCCAUCUGAUUGAGAAGGCAAUUGGUGCCCCAGCUGAUGAUUGAGGUAACUAUGUCCUCAUUAGACCCCCGCCCCGACACACUCCUCAGGAUGAUUUCAUUGUUGCCUUUGGUCCCCUUGAAAAUGAUGCUGUACUUCCACCACCUCGUGAUUAUCAUGAUCUCGACAUGCCCCGGGAUUACAUUGCCCUUGCCCAUAUUGUGUGAUUAUUCUGUUCUACUUAUAUACAAUUAUUGUUUUUUGUUUUGCUGUAUUUGAGUUGUCUAGUACUGCAGGUUUGAAGCUUACGAGUGUUCUGAAUCACGAGGCGAUGCACUUAUUAUAGGGCACGGUCAGAAGACUAGAGAGGGUUUCAUGUUUCUUGAAGUGUUACAUUUGUGAUUUGCGUGUUUGUUUUUUGUGAUCUACUUCAUAGAUCAAGAGAGGUAAUGAAGACUAUUUUACUUUCAUUGUACUUUCAUUAUUCGAUUAAAUAUGACCUUAUACAUUUAAUCAACAGAUAAAGUGUUGUCCAUUUGCUAAUCAGACAAGCAUGUGUUGUGGAGCCAGUGGUUGCCCUUGAUCUUUGUACGCAGAAAACAGGCUGGCGCCAUCCUCCUAUCCCAGGCAUUGCCGUGGAGAUGAACGACACCAGAUAAGGAACAGAAAGUUACCAUCCCGGCCCAGGAUGAGACUGUGAGGGGGGGGGGCAGUCAUUUCCACCAAGGACCCAUAAAGAUAAAAACCCUGUGUUACCGGGCAGCCCUUGUCUUCUUCUUGGGUCAUCUUGUCAGAAGACACAUGUCUCGUGUGCAGCAGAUGCCUAGAUAAGACCCGGGCAUCUGUGUUGCACAAUCCUUUGUAAUAAAUCCAUUUGUUGUUAACUUUUUCUAAUCAUUGGUCAUCUCUUCCUCGAUCAUCAAACACGCGUAGUCUAAACUCGCAAAUCCCUACAAGGGGAAUAAAGUUGAUGAGCCACACAAUGAAGUUAUGGGAAAGAGUAGUGGAGGCUAGACUCAGGACAAAAGUUAGUAUCUGCUAGCAACAGUAUCGUUUCAUGCCUAGAAAGAGUACUACAGAGGGAUUAUUUGCCUUGAGGAUGCUCGUGGAAAAGUACAGAGAAGGUCAGAAGGAGCUAGAUUGUGUCUUUGUGGAUCUAGAGAAAGUCUAUGACGGAAGAAUUCAAGGUGGCGGUGGGACUGCAUCAGGGAUCAGCUCUGAGCCCCUUCCUGUUUGCAGUGGUAAUGGAUAAGUUGACAGAUGAGGUUAGACUGGAAUCCUCUUGGAUCAUGAUGUUCGCAGAUGAUAUUGUAAUAUGCAGUGAAAGCAGGGAGCAUGCAGAGGAACAAUUAGAAAGAUGGAGACAUGCACUGGAAAGGAGCGGAAUGAAGAUUAGCCGAAGUAAAACAGAAUAUAUGUGCGUGAAUGAGAAAGGCAGAGAGGGAAGAGUGAGGCUACAGGGAGAAGAGAUUGCGAGGGUGGAGGACUUCAAAUAUGUAGGGUCAACAAUCCAGAGCGAUGGUGAGUGUGGCAAGGAAGUGAAGAAACGGGUCCAAGCAGGUUGGAACAGCUGGCGGAAGGUGUCUGGUGUGUUAUGUGACAGAAGGGGAAAGUUUAUAAAACAGUGGUGAGUGGUACGGAUUAAAGACGGUGGCACUGAAGAAACAACAGGAAGCAGAACUGGGGGUAACAGAAAUGAAGAUGUUGAGGUUCUUGCUCGAAGUGAGUAGGUUGGAUAGGAUUAGAAAUGAGCUCAUUGGAGGGACAGCCAAAGUUGGAUGUUUUGGUGACAAGAUUUGAGAGAGCAGACUUCGAUGGUUUGUUCAGAGGCGAGAGAGUGAGUAUAUUGGUGGAAGGGUGCUGAGGAUGAAAUCUGCCAGGCAAAAGAACGAGAGGAAGACCAAAGAGGUUUAUGGAUGUGGUGAGGGAAGACAUGAGGGCAGUUGGUGUUAGAGAUGAAGAGGCAGGAAUGGAAAAAUGGAAAAAAUGCUAAAAUGGAAAAAGAUGACACGCUGUGGUAACCCCUAACGGGACAAGCCGAAAGGAAAAGAAGAGGGAAGUUUCUACCUGGUGGUGGAACUGUGGACUAGCUCCCAUGGCCCUUAACAGAGUCCUACAGGGGCAUUAAGAAUAUUUUGUUCACAUAGAGAGGGCAUUCACCUGUGUCUUUUGUGUAAUCCUGUGGGGGAUCCUUUGGUGGUAUGAUGCACAGGAGCCUGUGAUUCAGCUCUAUUUGGUCCCUGUACAGCUUGAAUCUGAAUUUGCUCAGUGGUACGUUUUGGUGAGGUCAGUAUUGGGUCUCAGCUUUUGACAGUGAUUCUGUUGGUUACAGAAUGCCACAAUCUUAAAACACUUAGAAAAGGGUAUGCUUUUUAGACAAGGAUGGGACCAGCACCAGUGGAGAAGUUCAAGUAUCUUGGUGUCUCAUUCCCAAAUGUGUGAAAAACACAUAUAGUGUACUUCAGGGGUGCUCAAUGUAUUGAUCGCGAUCCACCAGUCAAUCGUGAGGCAGUUUUGGUCGAUCGCAUGAUGGCGUGCCAAAAAAAAAAAAAGACAUCAACCUAUUAUCUGUCUCAUCGCUUGAUUCAGGUGUAGCAAAUAUGUUGAUCGCAUGCACAUAAAGGUGCAUUCUACCAAGGUGGCCUUUCCCCAUGGCAGUCACGGUGAUGCGCGUGUACACCCACCGUCCCGCCCGUCAUCCCGAGAGGCUGGCUGCUUGAAAAGGGGGGUGGACCAGUUGUGGAGGCGUGCCGGAUCCAGUCCGUGGACCAUAGAUUGGGGACGACUGUUCAAACCUCUCAGAAGAUGUUGUUACUGAAGUCACGUAACAAACCUCAUUCCCGUUUUGUGACCUCAGGCUAUGACUCCCGAACCUCUCAGAAACCUGAUUCCACCUGCACAACACACGCGAGUUUGCCCAGAAUCAGCUUUUUUGGCCAAGUAUGUAACAGCACACAAGGAAUUUGUCUCCAGUAGCUUGGGAUUGAAACAACUGCCUCUAAAAAAAUGUUAAUGGCCUCACAGUUUUGAGGUCCAGGGUUCGAUCCCUGCUACGCCUGUGUGGAGUUUGCAUGUUCUCCACAUUCCUGUGUGGGAUUUCUGGUUUCCUCCCACAUCCCAAAAACAUGCAAUGUUAAUUGGACAUUCUCAAUUGCCCCUAGGUGUGAUUGAGAGAGCGGCUGUUUUUCUCGAUGUGCCCUGUGAUUGGCUGGCAACCAGUUCAGUGUGUACCCUGCCUCCUGCCGAUUGACAGCUGAGAUAGGCUCCAGCACUCCUGUGACUCUUGUGAAAAUGGAUGAAUAGUCGGUGCUGCCCUGGUACAACACUCAGAACAAAGAACAAAUAAACUAACAAGAACAAAGAACAAGAGACAUUUAUAGAUGUGCAAGAUGCAUUCUUCUUCAUUUAGAACAGUUAAGAGUGGGUCAACGGCCCACAUUAUGUUGAGCUUAUCAGAGUGCCCUUACCCAUUCGCAGUUCCUGUUAUAGAUCAGUUCAAUGACAAUUGUGCAAAGGGAGCAGUUUAAAGUGAUGAGUCGUGCGAUAAUCUACAGAAUAUAAUACUGAUACUAAUACUGAUUCACCAGCAGGAUAUAAGGGUUGACCCAAAUACAGCACAAGACCGAAAAUAAUAGUUCGCUGAUCAAUAUUUUAAUGACUUAGUUGACAGAGGAAAAAAAAAUGUUUGAAUGCUUGCUAGCUAUGAUUUGCAUUGAUCAGUCGCACCUGCCUGAUGUAAAGAGCUGGAAGAGCAGGUGACCAGGAUGUGGAUGGUCUGAAAGAAUCCUGCCUGCUCUGGACCUAGUUCGAAUGACGUGCAAGUUUUCAAUAGUGGGUAGGCUGGUCCUGACAAUCUGCUCAGUGGUUUUGAUUUUCUGUCGCAGUUUGUCCUUUUUUUCUGGCAGCCCCAAACCAGACUGUGGUUGGUGGUACACAUUACUGAUUGGAUGACAGCUGUGCAGAAUGGUCUCAGCAGCUCUUGUGACAGGCGACGCUUCCUCAGAAGUCACAAGAUGUUCAUCCUUUGCUGGGGUUUUUUGAGGAUGGGGUUGAUGUUUGUCUCCCACUUAAGGUCCUGUGAAACUGUAAUCUCCAAGAACUUGAAGGUCCCGGUGGUUGACACAAGACAGUUGGACAGCGUCCGGGGGAGAUGUGUUGAAGGAUGCCUCCUUAAAUCCACAAUCAUCUCUACGGUCUUUAGACUGUUCAAUGCCAGGUUUUGUUGGCACACCAAAGCUCCACCUCCUGUCGAUGCACAGACACGUCACCGUCUUUGAUGAGGCUGAUGAAAGUCAGGUGCCUGGAAGUGCAGUCAUUUGUGUAGAGCGCUAAGAGCAGAGGGGAGAGGACACAGCGUUCAUCCAAUCAGUCCUGUGUACCUACAUCACAGUCUGGAUUGGGGCUUCCACAAAAAAGGACAAACUCCGACAACAACGGACAAUCAAAACCACUGAACGGAUUGUUGGCACCACCCUACCCACUCUUGAAGACUUGCAUGCCACUCGAACUAAGUUCAUAGAGGGCAGGAUCCUUUCGGACCCUCCAAAUCCAGGCCACCAGCUCGUCCAGCUCCUUCCGUUGGGUAGAUGCUCCCAAUCAAUGCAAAUCAAAACUAGCAGGCAUUCAAACAGUUUUUGCCCUCUGGCUUUUUAGUCAAUAAAUUAUUGAUCAACAAACCUACUAUUUUCUUCCUUGUGCUGUUGUUGGGACAUAUCCUCAUAUCCUGCUGGUCCAAAUUAGUAUUAGUAAUAUAUUGUGUAGACUCACGCAUGAUUCGUUACUUUAAACUGCUCCUUUUGCACAAUUGUCAUUGCACUGGUCUAUAACAGGAACUGUGAAUGGGUAAGGGCACUCUGUACAAGCUUAAAGUCCCAAUGACAUCCCGAUAUACAUUUUAAAAUAGAUAUUGUUAUGAAAAUUACAUAUAAUAUUAUUCACUUCAAUGUCUAUAUGAAAAAAAAAAUAUGAGCGGAGAGCGUGUAAUUCAUGCGCAAAGUUGCGGAAGUCUCACUAGACAUCUAAGUGGGAGCCAUAUUCCCUGCUGCGCCAUUUAUAGCUGUCACACUGGUCCAGUCGCCAUUGAGACUUGCUAUGGGAAAUGAACAACAGAGAUUUUCGGAUUUUUCUGACUCCCCUUCUGACACGGAAGCAUUUUUCGAAGAAGAUAACAUCUCACAAUCGAGUAAAGUGACCUGGACAAUAUUACCCUAUUGUUUUGAGCCAUAUUUAGAUGAUAUGUAGAUCACUUCUAACCAACAACAGAGUCCCCGGCAGUAUGUAUGACAGUAUGUAUAGCGUACUCAACUGCGAGCGAUGACAACACCGUGGCCUGGCACUGUGAUGAGCCACCCCGACCCGGCGCCGUGAUGAGUCACCCCGGCCCGGCACCGCAAUGAGCCAUACCGGCCCGGUGCCGCAUUGAGCCACCGCGUCCCAUUGUCGUCGCCCGCUGAAACAAGGAUUACGUCGUACCCCCCCAACCUAUUUUUUUAAUAGCCCCAUACACACCUACCAGUAAUUUGGAACCCACAAAGCUCGUGCUUUGCACUUGUGCAAUCAAUUUUCCACAAUGAACCGGGUCUUUUGGAAAAGCGUGACGAGUGAAUCCAUCCUCCCGAGUGUUCGAGCAAUUUCCAGCAAUACAACAAGGCGGCAUUUUGGCUAACAUGAAGGAGUAAAGACCUACCUUCCCUCAGGUAAAACUGGUAUAAACACACGAACCCACCUGAGUGGGCGUCUGCAAAUAACGUCUCUUCCUGCUUCUCCAAAUUAAAUCCCUUGAGAGGAUUUUCAUGUUGAGAGUUACAAAAAUCCAUAUAACAUAAAACAUGUUGUGUUGUUGGUCCAUUUCGGACUUAGCGGUGGCGCAAGCCGCCAUUUCAGCCGAUGUGGAAGUGGCUUGGGCUCAACAACUACUACUACUCAACUACUUCGCCACAUGUCAAAUACUUAUCUCCAGCUGUGUCACACAAAUAAAUCAGUAAAAAAUCAUACAUUAUGACUUCUGGACUUUUCUGUUUAGAUUCUCUCUCUCACAGUGGACAUGCAGCUACAAUGAAAAUAUCAGACCCCUCCAUGAUUUCCAAGUGGGAGAACUUGCAAUAUAGCAGGGUGUUCAAAUACUUAUUUUCUAUACUGUAAAUGUAAAAGGAGCCAUUGUAUAUCUUAAUUUAUUUUCUUUAUCAUUAUUUGUGAUUGUAUUGUUAUUUUUUUAAAUUAAUUGUCUCAUGUUUGAUGAACAGCAGUUUGUUACAGCUUUGGUUGUUUUUAAAAUGCUGAAUUGAUCAUAGAGUUGAAUUUCAAUUGUCAUAGUUUUAUACUUCUGUUCUCAGCCUUUGUGUGUCAGUUUUUUUUGUUUCCUUGUAUUCAUUUUUUUCUCUAUCUGUUCAACUACAUUUUCCAAUUAAUAUCCAUCACAAUAUAAUUCUACGGAUUGCACUGCAGCACAGAAAAUUUUAUCCUGGAAUAAAAAGGUAACUGUGAUUUUCAGGGUGUAUCCUGCCUCUUGCCCAAACUCAGCUGGAAUAUUUAACCUCACACCGGUGACCUUAAUUUUUGGUGAAAUGGUGAAGAGAAUGAAUGGAAUGAAACAUCGAACAUCCCUGCCCUAGGAUGUUGAUGAUGAUGUGGAUGAUGUCAAACUCAGUUUGGCUCUGCAGCCAGAUCCAGACUUUAUGUUCUCAGUCUAUUUCCUGCUGCUGGCUCCUGAAACUUGGCAUCUGUUUGUCUUCACAAGUGCAUCGAUAUUAGAAAUAAAAUAUCCAACAAUAUGGUGACCCCGACGUGAUGCAAGAGAGGUAAAAGAAGUCCGGGACUUCGAGAAAAACCACAAGAGUCUGGGACUCGGGUCAGGGACCCACGUCCACACCAGGUGACGACCUGACAAAGGAGCCACAUGUCCGACCGUCUUUCUUCUUGGGCCCACAGUGAAACAAGGUCAUUCGUCAACAUGGCUACUAAGAAUGGACUUAUCACUUAUUCAAGGUGGUGAAGAAAGCAACAAAUGUAGCAAAGCGGAAUGAGAGGCCUGCCUCUCCACCACAAACUAUCAGCAGGCUUCAAAGAUGGGACAGGGCGAAGAGUCAUGGUUUGAAUCCACCUGAGGACAUCCGAGACUUGCUGCUGCGAAAGCAAACUGAUCAAAAGGACAAGUUGAGUUGUUCUUAACCUUGUUGGAGCUACCGAACCCCACCAGUUUCAAAUGUCCAUUCACCGAACCCGACAUUGUUGAUGGAGUGAAUAUCCUUUGUGACGAUGACUCAAGAGGAAAACUUGACAAUCAAGGAGUGCUCAAGUCUUUGGUUUUAGUAUUUUUCGCAAAUUAUUAAGAUAACAUCGAAAACUGGCCACGACAUUUUAACUUUCAUCAUCAUCAUCAAUGCAGAACACAGAUCACAACACAGAAUCGCAACCUCUUCUCUUCCAAAUCGGGAAUAAAAUAACAAAAAGAAUGUAAAUGUUCUUGAGUGUUUGUUCCAGACCAAUGGACCAAGCAUAUUAGCCACCAUGAACUCAAUUAAAGGAGUUAAGUUUGAGUUGGGUUUUCAUUGACGUAGUCAGUACAGUUUUUACUCAAGAAUUUAGCCAUUGACUUUGACUGAUCUAGCAUGGGAUCAAAGGGGCAGCAGCGAAAGCAGGGAAGACCGAACUUCCUUAUGCGCAGCCACUUCACCGAGCUCCUCUGAGAAGAUCCCGAACUGUUCCCAGGACUGAUGAAAAAGACUGGACUGCUUCAGAAAGUCAAAUCCCGAAAUAACUUUGAAUGCCUUUUUUGGAAUAUGACAUCAAUUCAAGGAGGGAUGAAAAUAGAGAGUCUCCAUAACUGCCGACGCUGGAACAGUCUACCUGUAAAUCUCCCAGUCCAUUCUUCCCCCACUGGUAGUAAGUGUUAAGCGAUGUGUGUACUGCACUAGCCGUGUUUCAUUGACAAUUUCUGCAAUUUUUGGAAGCAUAAACAUCUUUACAAAGCAGAUAGUUUGUCUAAAUAGAAAAGGAUUUAUUGGCUCCCAACAUUUUUUACUGCGUACAUCAUUCACUGUUUCGCAAACAUCAAGGUCCAAAGGAUGCAGUUGUUCCCAAACGGAGGAACAAGAGACAAGGUGAGACAAGGUUCAGACAGACUCAUUUGGGUCAUCCAAACAAUCAGAGGCGCAAAUGACAGAUGGAAUGUGCCAGCACUUUUAAUCUCCCACACUUCUUCCUGCCCCCUUUAAAGCUAUCAACACCUCAGAAUUUCCCCUCGACGACAAAGACAACCAAACAGUCUGCAGGAGAUGUUGGGUUCUCAUCUCCUAGACUGAAUGCAAUUUUAGGUCUGAUGAAUGUCACCAGUGUGCCCCUCUGGAGCUGGGGCGAGAAGGUGAGCCCCUGGUGGCCAGGCCUGCACCCAUGGGGCUCAGCCGUGCACAGCCCGAAAGGGUAACGUGGGUCCCCCUUCUCGUGGGAGACCAACUCCUGAGCUUUUCCUGUUAUAAUCUCCAAAAUUCAAAGUCCCUACACUCAGUUGUAGGCUCUGUGCAUUCCUCCUCUUCUUCUGUCAACGUAUCCGCUUUCCUCAUUUUUUUUUUUGUCUUCGACCCACAGUAGCUGAAUUUCCACCGACACCCUGCAGGUUAGCAGUGCCGGGGGCAGGGGUUGUUAAUCCGGUAUGGGAUUCUUCCUCCAUUUGGGUCCCUUCCUGCUUCUUCUCGAAAACAAAUCCCUCGAGAGGAUUUUCAUGGUGGGAGUUACAAAAAGCUGUAUAUGCUAAAUUCAUGUUUUGUGGUGAAAAAAUGCAUGGGCCCAUAUUGGCUGCCGUUUUUUCAUUAAUAACAUCCUAAAAAUCAUCCAUUUCAUGACAGUUGUCCCUUAAAAAAGCUCCUUGGCGGCAGAGUCCAGGGGGUGGAUGAGAUUUGCCUGGAGUUCCUGAAUGCUCUGGGAGUUGUGGGGCUGUCCUGAUUGACUUGCCUCUGCAACAUCGUGUGGACAUCGGGGACAGUGCCUCUAGAUUGGCAGACUUUAUCAGAAGGGGGACCGGAGGGUGUGGUCCAACUAUAGUGGGAUCGCACUCCUCAGCCUCCCUGAGGAGUUCUAUUCAGGGGUGCUGGAGACAAGGGUCCGUCAGAUUUUCGAAUGUCAUAUUCAGGAGGAACAAUGUGGCUUUCGUCCUGGCCGUGGAACAGUGGACGAGCUCUCCACCCUCAGCAGGAUCCUCGAAGGUGUAUGGGUGUUUGCCCAACCAGUCUACGUGUUUUGUGGACUUGGAGAAGGCGUUCGACCGUGUCUCCCGGGAAGUUGUUUUAUUGAAAGGAUCGGUGCUGGUCGGCGCUCAGGAGACAAAGAUGACACUCAACAAAAGACCAACGUUCCCAAAUGCUAUUUAGCCUCAAUAACUGGCAUAUUUAUUUCGACCAAAUGCAAGUUCUCAAAACACGGUUGAUAUUGCGUGAAAUCAAUCAUAUGAGCCUCUUACCUAUGCCGAGAAGGUGGAGAGCCGUCACCCAGGUAGAGGUCCGCUUUGUCAACCAGCUGGGCGUUCGUACGAAACCCGCAGCAGACUCUACCUGUUUGUGCUUUGCAUCUCUCUAUUAUACUUUUCAGUUGCGUGGGAGAGAAAGGGCGGGUGGCCUACCCGUCCCACCUGGCGCCGCAACAAUUGUAGCCAAUUUACAUUUGACACCUAAGUGUGUCCUUCAGGCUCUGAGAAACAUAACAAUCAAGAUAUCCCACAACAAUGGUCGUCUUUGAACCAGAUAACAAGUGAGUGUGAAACGGUCAAGACGUCUUGAGUAGAAAAACAAGUGAGAUAACAGUCAAGAUAUCCCACAACAAUGUUGUCUUUGAACCAGAUAAAACAAAUGAGAUACAAUACAAUGUUGUCUUUGAACCAGAUAAAACAAGUGAGAUACAAUACAUUCGGGUAUUCAACGGUUAUGGGAAGCAUCACUAAUUAACACUCCUUUCAUUCCACUCUUGAGGCUUCACAUAUUAGUUGAUAUACUGUAAGAUAAGCUUACACAUUUCACAGAGGCCUGUGAAAUGUAUCACCUCAUGUGUCAUAAAUCUCUUUUAAUAACUCUGUUACUGUGCAAAGAUGCGUGUGUGUACUGUUUGUCUAUGGGAAGCUUAAGAGCUCAAAGUGACUGCAAAUUUAUGAUAGCUGCAUUCUUGUGGGUUUUUGUAACAGGAAGAACUGUGUCUAAUCAGAGGACACCCGGCCUUGAGAAGAUUAAUUGUCUCUGCAAAACAACUUUACUUGUCUUGUGAAACCUGCUCUCCCCCACCCUAUGUGUGAAACUCAAUAAAAUGUGUGGUUUUGGGAAAGCUCGGAGAGAGUCUUACGUGCGGGCGUGGAGAAUAUGUUCUUCUCCCCCCGAGCUCUCCCCAAACUGCAGUUUGGUAAAAAACAACUCUGCCUCUGUCUCAUCAUUUUAUCCUGGUGCCGGAGCCUCUGGGUCCACAUUGAGCGAGAAGUCCGUGCUUUGGACC